ensembl:lncRNA
GUGGGAUACCAUGGAUGUAUUUAGUAAGAACAGGUACACCUGACGAAACUGGACCACCCCAUGGAUGUAUUUACAAAAAAAGGGUACAACUGAGCAUCUCGCUCUAUUCCUCUUUCUGGCUCUCUAGCAUAAAGUCCCUGUUCAGUUCUUGGCGUUCCUUCCUCCUGCUUGCCGCAGUCUUUAUAUCGAGCCGUGUGUCCGCAUCGAGUCAGUGUUGCGGGCUCCUGGGUGGAUGUGACUGAGGCCGGUGGAGGAACAAACUGACCCGCCGAGAUGACCACCGUGGCCCAGACGCACCACGAGGGGACAGUGCUGACGCCUCCCCAAGUGCGCCACCUGACCAAUAGGAACCCGUCCCCGUCCCGAGCCUUGGCCAGUCCUGGCAGCACUCCGCCAGCAGAGCUGUCGGAGCUCCUGCGUGACAAGGAGCGCCGUGCCGAGCAGCAGCGGGGCCGCUGCGUGGAGGAGCGGGAGAGGAGGCUGGAGGAGCAGCGGAGGAAGGAGUCCAGGCGCCGCGCGGCCGCCGAGGGGAAGAGGAGGCUGCAGCAGGAGGAGGAGAAGGAGCGGCUGGAGGCGCUGGUCCGCCGGCGGGCGGGGGGCGCGGCGGACAAGAGGGGCCGCGGCGCCGGGGAGGCCGGCCGGGACCCCCCGGAGAACCGCCCAAGAGAUGGACCUGGGGGACCCCGGACGGAGCCGAGGUGAGUG